rnacentral:rRNA from 1 species
GACGAACGCUGGCGGCGUGCUUAACACAUGCAAGUCGAGCGGUAAGGCCCUUUCGGGGUACGACGAGCGGCGAACGGGUGGAGUAACAACGUGGGUGGACCUGCCCUUACGCUCUGGGAUAAGCCUGGGAAACUGGGUCUAAUACCGGAUAUGACUCCAUGACGCAUGUUGUGGGGUGGGAAAGCCUUGUGCGGCUAGGGAUGGG